UGGGGAAUAUUGCGCAAUGGGGGGAACCCUGACGCAGCCAUGCCGCGUGAAUGAAGAAGGCCUUAGGGUUGUAAAGUUCUUUCGGUAUUGAGGAAGGUUGAUGUGUUAAUAGCACAUCAAAUUGACGUUAAAUACAGAAGAAGCACCGGCUAACUCCGUGCCAGCAGCCGCGGUAAUACGGAGGGUGCGAGCGUUAAUCGGAAUAACUGGGCGUAAAGGGCACGCAGGCGGUUAUUUAAGUGAGGUGUGAAAGCCCCGGGCUUAACCUGGGAAUUGCAUUUCAGACUGGGUAACUAGAGUACUUUAGGGAGGGGUAGAAUUCCACGUGUAGCGGUGAAAUGCGUAGAGAUGUGGAGGAAUACCGAAGGCGAAGGCAGCCCCUUGGGAAUGUACUGACGCUCAUGUGCGAAAGCGUGGGGAGCAAACAGGAUUAGAUACCCUGGUAGUCCACGCUGUAACGCUGUCGAUUUGGGGGUUGGGGUUUAACUCUGGCGCCCGUACUAACGUGAUAAUCCGACCGCCGGGGAGUACGGCCGCAAGGUUAA
rnacentral:rRNA from 1 species